rnacentral:tRNA from 1 species
GCCGAAGUGGUGGAAUUGGUAGACACGCCAUCUUGAGGGGGUGGUGCAGAUUCUGUGUGGGGGUUCAAAUCCCCCCUUCGGCA